rnacentral:rRNA from 1 species
UAUUAUUAUAAAUGUAAAUUUUUUUUCCUAAGUAGUAUUAGUUAUGAUCUUGAAAUUUAAAAAUUUUGGCGGUAUUUUAGUCUAUUCAGAGGAACCUGUUCUAUAAUUGAUAGUCCACGAAUAAUUAUACUUUUUUUAUUAAUUUAUAUAUCGUCGUUAUUAAAUAUUUUAUAAGAAUUAUAAUAUUUAAGAUUUUUUAUUAAAAAAUAUAUCAGAUCAAGGUGUAGUUUAUAAAAAAGAAGAAAUGGGUUACAAUAAAUUUAUUUUUAAAUUUAUAUAUAAAAAUAUAUAAUGAAAAUGGAUUUGAAAGUAAUAAAUUAAAAAUUUAAUUUAUGAUUUUAGCUCUAAAAUGUGU